AUUGAACGCUGGCGGCAUGCCUUACACAUGCAAGUCGAACGGCAGCACGGGUGCUUGCCCCUGGUGGCGAGUGGCGAACGGGUGAGUAAUACAUCGGAACAUGUCCUGUAGUGGGGGAUAGCCCGGCGAAAGCCGGAUUACUACCGCAUACGAUCUACUGAUGCCAGCGGGGGACCUUCGGACCUCGCGCUAUAGGGUUGGCCGAUGGCUGAUUAGCUAGUUGGUGGGGUAAAGGCCUACCAAGGCGACGAUCAGUAGCUGGUCUGAGAGGACGACCAGCCACACUGGGACUGAGACACGGCCCAGACUCCUACGGGAGGCAGCAGUGGGGAAUUUUGGACAAUGGGCGAAAGCCUGAUGCAGCAAUGCCGCGUGUGUGAAGAAGGCCUUCGGGUUGUAAAGCACUUUUGUCCGGAAAGAAAUCCUUGGCUCUAAUACAGUCGGGGGAUGACGGUACCGGAAGAAUAAGCACCGGCUAACUACGUG
rnacentral:rRNA from 1 species